AAUUGAAUUGUGAAACCAGCCAAAUCAGACUAUGGACUCUCAACCAGACAAUAACACAGUUAACAAUAUCACAUGAGUUAUCUUUUUCUCCAGUAUUUGUAAUGACAAAAGCCCCACAGUGUUGUAGUUAGCAGCUAGCAGCAGCAUGGAGAGACGAAAUGAGUUCUUCUGUCAAACAAGGGCAGAUGGAUAUUAUAAGACAUGGAUAUAUCGACCACUCCACCUCCCUAAAAAGAAAGGAGAAAGAGCUUCAAUGUCAAACAACAUGUAUCCCACAUGAGGAGUGACACAGUCCUGGAGUAGGCAUAUCCAAGGGCUGGUUCGCAAAUUAGAGGAGUUGAGAGUGAACAGGAAAGGUGACAACACAGAUCCCUGAGUCAUCCCUUGGAGGUGCAGUUUGGUGUAAUUUCUCUCCCUUUGAACCCCAGCAAGAUGUCAAUGUGCUUCAUUGUCUCAGUUCCAGACCAGUCACGAGGCAAGAAGACAUGUGUCGCUUGAUCUAAUGGCAGAGGACUAAUUGCAUUCUGGGAUACAUGCCUGGAAUUCACAAUGUUCAACAAAAAACAUGUUGUGCAGGCAGACCACAUACAACAUCGGGACAAUUAAUAACCCUCCUUCAGGGGAGAACAUUUGGAUUGUCCAGCCUCCCUGAAGACUGCACUGCUGCCUUUAUUGAUAUCUGUGGCCAGAUAGAGACAGGCCUGCCAUCCCUAGGCAGCUUGACUCCACUUGGGCUCCACUGUGACUGGACUGUUAUGAGGCCAACUUAGCCAGCCUGCUCCAAUCAUAGGAGCACAAACAAGCCCCUAACCACACUGAAUGCUAAGCCAGAUCAGUCUCGGGGGUGGUUUGUCAGGUUUUGCAGGGAUAACAUAGCAUGAGAUUAUUUUUUUUCUCUCUUGCACUCACUCUCGCCGUCUCUCUCCCUCUAUUUCGAUUUCUGUGUCUGUUAUUUUGAAUUCACAUCUCUCUGAGGAGGAGAAUGCCUUUUUUGACACAUGCUGACACACGCACACACUCGCAUCCAUACAUAGUGGCAUAGACACGAAUACGCUGGGUGCUUACACCCACACACACUCUCACCUCCUAUCUCCUCUCGACACAAGCAGCCAAAGCAUUCAGGCUCUCCAUUUAUUUGGUUCAGAUGUGGUUCAGCGGUAAAAUUAAGAUGAGGUGUUGACAAGCUAAUGCUGAAAUAACAAGACCUACUAAUUUGUGGCGAGCCUUAUGGAGCCUGUGCCAUCAAAUGCUGCUGGAGCCCAGUAUUAAGGUGAUGAAGUGUAACAUUUUAAACUGGCACAAUCAUAGGGCAAAGCUCUCAUUACCAUGAGGACACCGGUGGCACAUUAUGAAAAGCAAUAAACAUGCCCCCCCCCCUCCAUGCCUCAUGCUACUGCAUCUAUCACACUGGCAACAUAUGGGUGCCCGCAGGAGUGGCUGUUCUUAGCUGCCUGGGGUUUGCUAAGAACUCUGUCAUAGCCAGUGUAAAAGGUAAUGUUGUUUUCUUAACCAAAUCUAAUUUUUUACCAGCAGGAAGUCAAUGUUUGUUAGUGUAUAACCUUUAGUAGUGUCACUGAGGCUUCUGUCUUAGGUGAAAACAUGCAAAACGGUUUUGCUAGGCGUGUUUAGGGUUAUGGUUAUAAAGAGGCAGUGGCAGGCAGACAGAAUCUGUGCUGUUUGUGUGUUGUGUGGAGGGAGGUUAUCCUCUGUGAAUAUAACCUCGUUCUCUCAUUUUACAGCACACAACCCGGUCAGGCUAGUCAGGAUUUAGAGUAUUACCCAGGCUAAAUCAGCCACAGCUGCUCAAAAUAAAAAUGGUAUAUCAGAUUAGACAGAAAGAUUAGAGAGGGAAUAAAAACCCCAACAAUAUGUUAUCCUCUUCUUGGAUCUGCAGGAUAUGAUGAGGGUCAAAGAUCAACACACACUUACUUAAAACCGAAAUAUGUCACCGUCUUCAAAAUGUCGCUCAGCAUGGCCAAGCAUGCACCAAUCUGAAAGCUAUUGACCAUGAUGUCGGCAUUCACUGAGGGGGUGAAGAGGCACAAAGCUGCACUAAUUUGUCUUGACGAGAAAACAGCUGUAAACACCCCCAAGGGGGGCUCCGAGAUAAGUACCGUGUUGUGGCGAUGGUAUCAGAUGGCAGCAAUGUCCCACCCAGUCACCAUACUACAUUUUCAGGUGUUCUAUACACCCUGUUGUGCCUAUUAAUCAGAGCUGACAUUGAAUAGACACAGCAGCACAAAGCUAAUUGACCGUACGCCAGGUGAACACAAACUUCUGUGUUCACAGAUCCUGUCCAUUGUCUAUUCAGAGCCUUUGGUUUGUGUGGCUUUUUUGAUUUUCUUAUUUUUGUUCUUUUUCUUUUGUCUUUUUAACAGAAGCAGGCCUCCAAACAAAGAUAAGUCAUUUUGCACAGCAGGUUAAUAAGAUUGAAAUGAAAUCUCUGGCAGGGUGUUGUCCAUUACACUUAUUGUGCUUCAUGCUAUGGAAGCAGGGGAAAAAUGUGUCAAGCAUUCAAAAACAUGCAGCUCAGAAAUGUGUAAUCAAUACAGCACACUCGGUCCAAAAUGCCCAGACUAAAAGAAUAUUUGUUACCGACUUGGGUUGCCUCAAGCAAUCAUAGUCAAUGUAAAAUGUUUGAUUUCCCAAUUCAGGUACAUUUAAAAUAAUGUUUUUCAGCGGUCAAUGCUUUUCAGGCAAAAAUGAAAUGUGUUAAAAGGUGCACUUUGUUGAUUCGGGAGGAAAUACAAUUGUUAAUGGCAAAUACCAAAAAGGAUUUGAAGCUGGAACGCUUGUCCUCUCCUUAAAAUGUAGCCCCUGCAGGCAGAGGAAAGAAAAAUCAAUGAGUGAACCAAAAAUGUUUAAAUAUGUCCUGCACUGUUUAGAGUUUAUGACUGUGUGAUCGUCUCUUUCAUUGUGAUAAUGGUUGUCCCUUUUAUAUUUUUUAGCAUACAUUAUAUGAACAGUUUUGCGCAAUUAAUGUCUACCUUUAUUAUACAAGGAAAUAUCAAAAGAUGGAAUAACUGUCUAUAGUUUUUACUUUGAUCAAAUUCCAUUAUGCAGUAGUUGUAUUUUCGUAUAACCUGCGAUAUUGAAAGUGUAUUUGUAUAUACCUGUAUAUCCACUUUAAAGAGAGUACUUUAACAAAGAGCCAUUUAGAGUUUAAAUUGUGAAUGUAUCAUGCGGACACUUUGAACAUGAGAGGACUAUACAUAAAGCCUGUUAAUUGCCAUCUAACAGCAUACAUAUCUAAACCAAUUAUGCACAAAUACAACAAGCUUCUCUUAAACAUGUUUCAUUUCAGCAGCAAAUGGGUCAUUGGGUUACUAAUUAUUAAUUGUUCAAACACCAAACUGAAUAUGAAAUGAAUGCCGCUCUUGAUGAUGAGGAGCUCCACCAACCAUUCAACUUCAAACAGCCACAUUCAACAGUUCCUACAUUUGCAUCUGUAUGCAUCAAGGUCCGCAUACACUCUGAUGGGAGACCAUCUGCACCCUUUUCCUGAACAUGUCAGGCAGAGCAAGGCGAGAGCCUGCUGCUAUUCCAAUAAGGCUUUUCAGGGAAAUCUAUUGGCAUUUUCAAAAGAUCCCCUCAAACAUCUGUGCCCAACAAGCGCAGCAUCAGCAGGCAUGAGAAAAGUUUACGAUUUGUUCAAUUUGUUCUUGCGCUGAAGUAGAUCAAAAAGUAAAGUGCACAGAAAGGGCACAAACACUCCUACUUUAUGUUCACUCACUGAUUCAUACAGAAGUGACAGGAAGGAAAAUAAAUAGCAUUGUGUGGUAUUAGCGCGGCUUUGAAAGACACAAAGCGGAGUUUUACCCACGGUGCGCUUUCCUCCUCAACUCAACCACGAUGGGAGUCCCAGGCCAGUGCUUUGGGAAAAUUAGGAUUAAAACAGGAUUAAAAUAAAAGUACCACAAUAACAACCAACACCAUGACAAAAAAUAGUUGGUGAAGGGAAGGGAAAAAAAGCACAUUUUGCUGUUGAAUUGUACUUUGAGUCAGGUUGGUGAGCCCAAGGGACCCUUAGAUGGAUGGGGAGAGUUGAUACUAAUAGAUGAAUCAUCGACAGCCAAAGUGUGGAAUGGAGUGGAGGGCGUAACGUCAUUGACGAGAGACCCAUAUAUUAAGCCUGUCAGUUCCCCUUCCUUUUUAUGCCUCUGGCAAAGCGUGCUCAGGAGAAAUCAAUUUUUUGAGAAGCGGUAUGGAUGAGGACCAUAAUAAUAACAACGUCAUCUUCAGCUCCAGCCAGAAUAAGUUUGUCCAUCUUGCUCUUUCAGAAUCAAUGUGCCGCUGUCUGUCUUUGCUGUCUUGUGCUAGCUCCUGUAUGUCCGUGUUUGUGCAUGGGCUGGGUUCCAGUGGCAGGCAGGACAUAGGGGUGAUAAUGCCAGCAUCUGUCAGAGGAGCUUAGAUAUUCCUUUCCAAGCAAGCAGCAGGGACAGACUACAGACGUGUGCCAUUCCUUGGCAGCAGAGAAAAAAAAAUGGUAUGAAAUAAAAAUCAGUCAUUCUCUGUGUACUUUCAACCGCACUGGUUCAGGCUUUGCACCACAAAUGCUUCGAAAGAUAUGUUCAAAAACCAGCGCAAGGUUGUGAAAUUCCCAUGGACUUAAAUAGCCUCUGCUGCCCGUCUACAAGUUUAAGAAGAAACCUCUGCACAGCCUUUAAGGACACACAGCACAGAGCUACAUAUAUGUUAGGAAUUACAUUUAGAUAUUCAUAUAUUCUUUUUUUUUAAGAUUGUUUUUUCUGGCCUUUUACCUUUUUAUUCGAAAAAUAGGACCUAUAGACUGGAAAUGGGGAGGGAGAGGGGACAGCAAGCAGCAAAGGAUUUGAACCUGGGCUGUUCGGUUAGAACUUCUCGCUCACCAGGUGAGCUGUCUGCCCGCCCCAGAUAUUCAUUCAAUAAAACCAAUGGGGAUUGCUCACAACAUCCAGUUUGAACUUUUAAUAAUGUGCUUGUUUUUCAUUUACAACAAUGGGAGUGCUUGAAUUACAUAAAACGAAAAAUGGCAUAAAUUCAUCAAACCUUAAGUAAAGUCCCAGUUUUUUUAAUUGAAUUGCUGUUUGAUCUUGACAAGGUUUUUGUGCUCUGAUAGUUCUGUAAUGAGUUUUAAAAAUCAACUUGAUGAAUCACAUAUGUAUUUUUUUCAAUACCGCCACUGUUUUCUUUAAAGGUACUCUAACUAUAUUGGUAAAUGUAUUUUACGAUGGUGCCAAUCAGAAAUAAAGCCAGUAUAUUAAGUGGGGUCGGUAACUCCUUUGCUUGAAUACCUGACAGAUUAUAAAUGAAUAGACAAAUAAACUUACACAAGCCAAAAUGAUGCAGAGCUAAACAAACACUAAUGCUGUACAGUCAAUGCAGCUCCUCUCACAACGGAAAAUUUAAAGAUUUAAAUGUAGUGGUAAAAUCAAUAAAGUACUCAAAAGAAUGUCCACAGCAGGAAGGAUAUUAAGGUAAAUUGUAGCUCAUAAAUGAAAUAUGCCACCACUCUCUGAGAGAAAGAAAUACAUUGUGGCUAAAUUACGGCGCUAUGGUUUAUGAUCAACCCUGCUGCUCCAGGCUGUUCCGUUUCCUUUUUUCCAGACUGCACUCAACUGCAUGGGUAAGAAAACCUGCAACUAUUUUAUUCGUCUUAGCUCUCAUCAGGCACUGUAGCAAAUUGGACCAAGACUGCAGAAGUUUCAACUCACGCUUUAACACGAACCAACUUCAUCUUUUAACAAACUAACAACAAAAUAAAUCACAGAAGUAAAUAAAUCACAGUACAAGCACAAAGGGUACUAUCCUCUUUCUGUUAUAUAUAAAGUUAGCAAGUGAAGCAAGUAGUAUUGUCACCUUAUCAUUCAAAAACAUAAUGUAACAAUUAAAGCACCUUCUACUGUGUUAUUGUUCAGUACUUAAAUUGGCUGUUACCACAGAGAGUGUGCACCUGUCUAGCUUAGGAUCAAACAGGCAAUGCAAGAGUCUGUAACACCAUCUCAGACUGAUAGAAAUAUAAAAUGGUACUAUGCCUUAAGUUGUACUUAGCCAUCAGAAAGCCCAGAGGAAAAGAGAGUCCCCUGUCACCACCUGCGGUUCUUCAACUUGCUGACAUUAAGAAUUUAUGAGCUUAAAGAUUUGUCUAACGCGACUGCAACGUGUCUUGAAAAGUGUUAUGGAAGAGCAAACAAGUUGCUUUGUUGAUACUUGCCUGUUUGUCAAGAUGUGAUUGCACAAGAGAAAAUAUUCUCAAUAAAAGAAAAGCCUAUCCAAGA